UGGGGAAUAUUGCACAAUGGGGGAAACCCUGAUGCAGCGACGCCGCGUGAACGAAGAAGGUAUUCGUAUCGUAAAGUUCUGUCCUAUGGGAAGAUAAUGACAGUACCAUAGAAGAAAGCUCCGGCUAAAUACGUGCCAGCAGCCGCGGUAAUACGGAUGGAGCGAGCGUUGUCCGGAAUUAUUGGGCGUAAAGGGUACGCAGGCGGUUUAAUAAGUCGAAUGUUAAAGAUCGGGGCUCAACCCCGCAAAGCAUUGGAAACUGAUAAACUUGAGUAGUGGAGAGGAAAGUGGAAUUCCUAGUGUAGUGGUGAAAUACGUAGAUAUUAGGAGGAAUACCAGUAGCGAAGGCGACGUUCUGGACACAAACUGACGCUGAGGUACGAAAGCGUGGGGAGCAAACAGG
rnacentral:rRNA from 1 species